AGUGAAUAUUUUGGAUCCCUGCAUUUGUACCAACCAGACACAUAGACGUGUUUAUUUAGCUGUCGUAAAUCAGAGCAUAAACGCCAUUGUCCAUUAGGUUUCAGAAUCCCCAAGAUCGGAUUAUUAUACGAAAUGUGCACCGGACGUAUAAUGCCCCUUUCCUUUAAAUUCUGAAUGAUGUCUUGUAGACCAUCAUAUGACGCUAAUCGGAGUCUAUAUUGUUAGAUAA